rnacentral:rRNA from 1 species
CGCGGCCUAUCAGCUUGUUGGUGAGGUAACGGCUCACCAAGGCGACGACGGGUAGCUGGUCUGAGAGGACGAUCAGCCACACCGGAACUGAGACACGGUCCAGACACCUACGGGUGGCAGCAGUCGAGAAUCAUUCACAAUGGACGAAAGUCUGAUGGUGCAACGCCACGUGGAGGAUGAAGGCCCUAGGGUCGUAAACUCCUGUCAUCAGGGAGUAAGCCUUGGUCGUUAAUAGCUUCCAAGGUUGAUAGUACCUGAAGAGGAAGGGACGGCUAACUUCGUGCCAGCAGCCGCGGUAAUACGAAGGUCCCAAGCGUUGUUCGGAAUCACUGGGCGUAAAGAGUAUGUAGGCGGUCUGGAAAGUCAGGUGUGAAAUCCCGGGGCUCAACCCCGGAACUGCACCCGAUACUCCCAGACUAGAGUAAUGGAGGGGUGACUGGAAUUCUCGGUGUAGCAGUGAAAUGCGUAGAUAUCGAGAGGAACACUCGUGGCGAAGGCGAGUCACUGGACAUUUACUGACGCUGAGAUACGAAGGCCAGGGUAGCGAAAGGGAUUAGAUACCCCUGUAGUCCUGGCAGUAAACGGUGCGCGCUUGGUGUGGGAGGAUUCGACCCCUUCCGUGCCGGAGCUAACGCGUUAAGCGCCCCGCCUGGGGAGUACGG